AGAGUUUGAUCAUGGCUCAGGACGAACGCUGGCGGCGUGCUUAACACAUGCAAGUCGAACGGAAAGCGCUCUUCGGAGUGACUCGAGUGGCGAACGGGUGAGUAACACGUGGGUGAUCUGCCCUGCACUUUGGGAUAAGCCUGGGAAACUGGGUCUAAUACCGGAUAGGACUACGCGAUGCAUGUCGUGUGGUGGAAAGCUUUUGCGGUGCAGGAUGGGCCCGCGGCCUAUCAGCUUGUUGGUGGGGUAAUGGCCUACCAAGGCGACGACGGGUAGCCGACCUGAGAGGGUGACCGGCCACACUGGGACUGAGACACGGCCCAGACUCCUACGGGAGGCAGCAGUGGGGAAUAUUGCACAAUGGGCGGAAGCCUGAUGCAGCGACGCCGCGUGAGGGAUGAAGGCCUUCGGGUUGUAAACCUCUUUCAGCAGGGACGAAGCGUGAGUGACGGUACCUGCAGAAGAAGCACCGGCUAACUACGUGCCAGCAGCCGCGGUAAUACGUAGGGUGCGAGCGUUGUCCGGAAUUACUGGGCGUAAAGAGUUCGUAGGCGGUUUGUCGCGUCGUUUGUGAAAACCCGGGGCUCAACUUCGGGCUUGCAGGCGAUACGGGCAGACUUGAGUGUUUCAGGGGAGACUGGAAUUCCUGGUGUAGCGGUGAAAUGCGCAGAUAUCAGGAGGAACACCGGUGGCGAAGGCGGGUCUCUGGGAAACAACUGACGCUGAGGAACGAAAGCGUGGGUAGCAAACAGGAUUAGAUACCCUGGUAGUCC
rnacentral:rRNA from 1 species